rnacentral:tRNA from 1 species
GGAGGGGUAAGAGAUCCUGGUGGGCUCCCCGGUCUUCAAAACCGGUGAGGCCGAGCACCUCGGCCUGGCGGGUUCGAUUCCCGUCCCCCUCCGCCA